rnacentral:rRNA from 1 species
AGUGAACGCUGGCGGUAGGCCUAACACAUGCAAGUCGAACGGCAGCACAGUAAGAGCUUGCUCUUACGGGUGGCGAGUGGCGGACGGGUGAGGAAUACAUCGGAAUCUACUUUUUCGUGGGGGAUAACGUAGGGAAACUUACGCUAAUACCGCAUACGACCUACGGGUGAAAGCAGGGGAUCUUCGGACCUUGCGCGAUUGAAUGAGCCGAUGUCGGAUUAGCUAGUUGGCGGGGUAAAGGCCCACCAAGGCGACGAUCCGUAGCUGGUCUGAGAGGAUGAUCAGCCACACUGGAACUGAGACACGGUCCAGACUCCUACGGGAGGCAGCAGUGGGGAAUAUUGGACAAUGGGCGCAAGCCUGAUCCAGCCAUACCGCGGGGGUGAAGAAGGCCUUCGGGUUGUAAAGCCCUAUUGUUGGGAAAGAAAAGCAGCAGGUUAAUACCCCGCUGUUCUGACGGUACCCAAAGAAUAAGCACCGGCUAACUUCGUG